rnacentral:rRNA from 1 species
ACCGGCAGCUCCCUUUUUUUCCCUUCUUCUUUUUCCUAAAGCGUUCUUAGCCUUUUUUAUAAUUCUCUUGUGAAAUCCCGCAGCUUAACUGUGGGACUUGCUGGAGAUACUAUCAGACUUGAGGUCGGGAGAGGAUAGGGGUACUCCCAGGGUAGGGGUGAAAUCCUAUAAUCUUGGGAGGACCACCUGUGGCGAAGGCGCCUAACUGGAACGAACCUGACGGUGAGUAACGAAAGCCAGGGGCUCGAACCG